GUGCUCACUUCAGCAGCACAGAUACUAAAAUUGGAAUGAUACAAGGAAGAUUAUUAGCACAGCCUCUCCACAAGGAUGGCAUGCAAAUUCAUAAAGCAUUCCAUAUUUUU
ensembl:snRNA U6 U6 spliceosomal RNA